UCCGAAUUAGUUUAGUGGCUAUGACGGCGCCUUGUCAUCCUCGGAUGCAAUUAUGUUCUCCGCGUUUCCAACGGCGCAGACCCGGGUUCAAUUCCCGGAUUCGGAG